CCCAGCCGGUCGCCUUUGGAAUCUUAGAAUGUCACCGCGCCGCGGGGGCGGGGGCGGCUUUCAGCCCCAGACCCGAGAUCCGGCGGGCGGGGCAGCGGGUGGGGUGGCCGAGGUGCCCGGCCCUCCGGGGUCCUGACCCCCAGAGCUGUGCACUUUCUCCCCAAAUCCCUGCGACUCACCAAAGCUUGGUUGAAAAACAGAACCCUGAACUCUGCCAAAAUCGAGGCCAAGCAAGCACCUUCUCUGCCUGAUCAGGGUUCACGCCUCAGCAGCCCCUGCGUCACUGGCGCUAUUUACCCUCUGUCCAGGGAAGGACAGUCGGGAGGAGACGGACUUGACCAGGGUCGCAGGCUGGGCGGUGGUGGCCUGGGAUUCGAACCUGUGCCGGGUGCCUCUGUGGGGCUGCCCUUGCCUGGCUCCCGGGUCUGCGUUGCUGGGGGGCAGGGCUCCGGGGCUGCGCUGAGAAAUAACAAAUUCUUUGGGGAUCCAGAGGGAAGAGAGAAUUUUGUCCCCCUCCCCAGGGGCUUUUGGUCCUCCCCUGGGAGGGAGAGAUGCAUUCCUAGCUCUCGCGGAAGUCCUGGUUUUGUGGAAAGACACUGUCCAGCUUUCACCCUGGGGUUUCCGCCCAGCGGUCAGUUCCGCGGGGCUCCGCGAGCCAGAGGUUUCACAGCGCUGAGGUCCAGGUUGCGCACCGGGAGGCAGGCGCUCGCAGCUUUUGCAAAGCCCGCACAGCCUGCCGAGUGCUGGCCUUGGAGCCGGAAGCUUCUAACAGGGAGACCUGGCUGGAAAAGCUGUCCUCUGGCAUCCUGUGGCCCUGGCAAGCCAGGCCCCCAGGUCUGCGCGGCUCUCAGUGUGGGCAGUCACUGCUUUCAGACCUUUGAAGGGGGUUUUUGCAGUCUGCCAAGGCUCCUGCUAUUCUCAAAGAGGAUUUUCUUCUGCAGCAUCCUCCUCUGCUUCCCGUUCUGGCCUGAGCCACUGGAGGACCACUUGGAGAGGAGGUGCCGGCCUCACCCACAGGCAGGUGAAAGGUGUUCCCAUCUGAGCCACAGCCCUGUCCAGUCCCGGGAAGUGGUUAGUGACCUGCCAGGUCUUCUUCCAGCUGCUCACCACGAGCCCGUGUUCAGAUGCAGGCUGAGAGGCUGCAAGGCUUUCAGACCACACGGGUGUCAGAGUCUCCCCAGCUGCAGAGGAGCCUGGGCAAAGCUGUGCUCAGGUCUACGUAAGCCUUUCACACCCUCGAUGCAUCAGGGGCCAGCCCAGAGAGAUGGCAUUGGGGGACAGCGACUCAUGGAUACAGGCGGGAAAAGCCCCAGUGAGAGGAGGAGAUUUGGGGCAAGGGCUGCUCUUCUCCAAACAGUUCCUCUCCACUACUGUGGCAGAGAAAUGUGGGAGAGGAGUCCAUAGCCAGCACUGAUGCACCGUGCACUCCCAAGUCCUGUGUCUCCUCCCCACUAGUUCCCCAAGGGCUGCAAUUUGCAGUCUGCAACAUCAGCCCCAGCAAGACUGCUGCUGUCCUUAAAAACUACGUGUGCCUGUGCUUGCUGCUUGUGUGUAAACCCUGACACUGGCGCUGGUGCCCGGCCCCUUCAGAGGUCUGCUCCCAGGUGGGGAGCUUCCAUCUUUCCUCAAGAUUUGCUCUGGCCGGUAGUUUUCCUCUACGAUGGCUUAGAGUUUCCAAAAAUUCUCCCAUGACCUUCGGAUCAGCGUGGAUGACUCACUGGCACAUGAUGCAAAGAGUAAGGACUCCUCAGUGUUUAAGCCACCCCGAGCCGGAGGAAACCCAGCACCGGUCAGAUCCAGCUUCUUUGCUCAACAACAUAAAGCGCUGCACCUCAGCCAGCGCCAUCGAGGCUCAGAGGGAGGUGUCCCGUACCUGGUCUUCAGUAAGGUGACUCGGACUUUCUCUGUGUCAUCCCAGAUUUUGGCACUUCUCAAAUUUUUGUUAGUCUCCUCCUUUCAAUGAAGCAGAUCCCUUCUCACAACUUCCGUGGCUUCCUGUUUUGAGUUCCCAGCCAGAUUCAAAUAGGAUUGCCUUCUGGCCUGGAAACUACCCCUGAUUAUCCACCUUCAAGGCUUUAAUUUCACUUUGGUGUGGCCUCCUACUGGCAGUGAAUUUUCAACCUUAGGGGCCCCAUGAAUAAAACACCCAGCGUUUAAAUCGAUCAAAAGGGAAAAAUGUUGCGUUAGGGUUGAUACAUUGUGCUGACCUGAGGAGUUUAGAAGUUUAACUAAGAAAAUCAGCAGGGAGCCAUGGUCCUUUGCAAACAAUGCUGAGCCUGCACCAGAGGAGGGACGGAGGGGAGGAUUGCAACAUUAGGGAGGAGAAGAGGCCUGCUCUUCCCCAAUUUUGCGCUUGUUGCUUUGCUGCCUUCUGCCACCUCUAAGUGUGGCCCCUGUGCCAUGCCACCCUGCCUUGGAGCCAGCUGAGUGUGGGCUGCAGCCUCCACAGCUGUGAGGAGGAAGAAGGGAUAGAGCAGGAGGGGGGGGAGGGGGGGGACUGGCAAGAGGAUGCCCCGGCUCAACACUGCUGGCCUUGAAGAGGGACAGAAGAGGCAAGGGCCACAGUCCAUCCUUGGCACUGCUCACGGCCUGGUGUAGCCCAGCGAGCCGCUCCCCGGGCAUCUGACCGCCACAACUCGGGGGUUAGAAGUCUGUGUCAUUUUGGUCACCAGCUUUGUGGGAUCUGUCACAGCAGCAAAAGAAACCCCUAUAGCACGCUGAGCACAGUCCCCCGAGGGCUUCCUGGGUACGUCACACUGAAGGCCCGGGACAGUCCCGUGAGGUAGGCGGCCCUGUGCUCACUGUCUAACAGCAGAAAACGGGGCUCUGGGAGAUUAGUAAGUUUGGUUCUGGUCACACAGCCAGCUCUGAUGGAGCAAAGACCAGGCGCCCGGCUCCGAGGCCCUGAGCCCUGUUCCCUCCAUGUGCUUGGUUCCGGAGGGACGAACAUGAGGCGAGCAGAUAAAGCCUGGUGAGUGAUCAGGGUCGCUGUCUGACAGGUUCCGAGCAAUAUCAGCCGGGCUGCACUGGCCUGGCCGCUGUGGGUUACGAUGGCACUCCCAAGCCAGGCUGACCGGGUUCGAGCUCCGAGCCUUCUCUGUGGCACAGCUCUUUGGGAAAGCUGGCUCCCUGCGCUUCAAGCCCUUCAUUUACAAAACCAGAACAAUACUGACCUUGCAGUCAUUAGAGGAGGGGAUAAGAAAAUGCACCUAGAGGAGCUUAUUAAUGUUCUAGAUACCACAGGCUCCAUCAGUGCCCGCUAUGGACACUCAAUACUGAGUUUCCUAUUACCAGAGAAUGUUCCAGAAGACUUCUGAAAUCUUGGUAGAAGCUUGGCUAAGGCCAUGUACAAGACUCCUCCAUGGAUCAGCAGCAGUUCUAGGGAAUUCAUUAUGCCAGGCAUGGUGACAUAGGCUGUAAUCCCAGCACUUUGGGAGGCUGAGGCAGGAAGAUUUCAAAUUCAAGAUGAGACUGAGCAACUUACUGAGAGCUUGCCCCAAAAUGAAAAAAUAACAACAACAAAAAAAAACACAAAAAACAAAAAAAUGGGCUGUGGAUAUAAUUCGGUGUAAAGGCCCUGGGCUCUGUUUUGCCGCCACCCUAAAAGGUGUGACUCUCAGAACUGUUUAAGAUAAGAAUGUAAAACAACGUAAAUUCCUAACAAGGAGAUGCACUGGCUGGACUGUAAUCCCAGAACUCUGGGAGGCUGAGGCAGUAGGAUUACAAAAUCAAGCUCAGCCUGGGAAAUUUAAUGAACUUAGUAGGAUCUUGUCUCAAAACAAAAAGCAAAAAUACAAAAAUGAAAAAGGGCAGGGAUGUAGCUCAGUGUAAAUGCGUGGGCUUAAUCCCCAGUACUGCAAAAGAAAAAAAAAUUUUUUGUAAUACAUUCCUACCAUAAAAUACCAUAGAAAUCACUUAAAAUGUUUCUGCAAUGUGUUCACUGAUAUGAAAUGAUAACAUGUUCCUAAAAAAUACUAAAA